AAAUCACCAAAACGUCCCUUUGUAUGCUCCUACCAAUUCUUUGACAAUAAGUUUACAGUCGAGCAUCCACACCCAGAAAAAUGGCUUGGCUACGAUACUCCACUCGUGAAGACGUGUUGGUCAGGCAGUCAUCAGUGACAGAUGACACAACAGGUUCAAGUUUUCACCAAAUUGAAAAUGGGGAUUGGCCAACACGAAUAGAAAGAAUGGAUUUACCUUCAGAGAAGGAUGCCCAAACCCAAUGGGAAGACCCAUCUCUAAGUGAUCACAACUACAGCUCAGGUGAUCAUGUAAAGCUCACUACCUGUGAGGCAGGGAUACAGUGCCCAGCAGCACCGCUCUACAAAACCCUGCUGAGGAAUGAAGCACUCUGUUGACUGCAUACAGGCUUGUCUCUUGCUACCCUUUCUACCCUCCUGGUAGAACAUCUUCUACCCUUCUACAAAGGCAGCUUUCAAUUAGACCUGACAGACCAACUUCUGAUGACACUGAUGAAGCUCAGAUUGCUGCAGCAGUACCUAGCAGAAAGGUUUGGUGUUUUCCUAGGGUAUUGUCAGUUGAGUGAUUCGUUAUUGGAUUGACAUGAUGGAAGAGAGUCUGAGGGAGUACAUUCCAUGGUUGCCAAGGGAGAUCAUCCGUGCUACAAUGUCACAAUGUUUUAAGGACUACUACCAAGGACCAACCUGGAUUAUCGACUGCUCAGAAAUUGCUUUACAGAAUGCAAGAAUCUGGAUUCAAGGGGGGAGUCAUUCAACCAUUACUACACCCAGAACACUAUCAAGUACCUUGUGGUCGGUCUGGUGAUGUUAAUUUCUUCAGCAUAUGGAGGUAGAUGUAGCAACAAAUAUAUAACGUUGGAUUCUAGGUUCUUGGAGAACCUCUGUCCAGAUGAUGAGGUCAUGGUUGACCGGGGCUUCACAAUCCAUGAACUGGUGUAUGAGAGGAAGGUUAAAUGAACAAUUCCAGCCUUCACAAAAAGAGGCGCACAGCUGUCAGUGGAGGACACCACAUGUACAAGAUUGAUAGCCAACGUGAGGGUCCAUGUGGAACGCGUAAUUCAAAGGCUCAAACGGUUUAGAAUCAUCUCACAGUCAGUGCCAAUCGACCUCUCAUCGAAAAUGGACAAAAUACUUUGAAUCUGUGCUGCCCUGUGUAACCUGUGUGGUGAUAUCAUUCAUGAAGAUGUUGAAUCAACUGAUCAGUCAAAUGCAAUUCACAGGGUUAUUUUUCCAUUAUGAAUUAAAGUUGUCUAAAGUUACGUUAAUAUGUUAAUACAUUUCAAUUCAUUAUAUAACAACUCAACUGAAUUAUUUGUUUGACAUACUCAUUAAUAUUAAUAAAAAACAAAGCCAUAAAAAUAAUUUCUACAGUACUGUGACUGUUGAUGCAGUAUGUUAGGCUUUUUAAUUGAAUAUUGUAUAACUGUGGACCAGCUAGCUAACUAGAUUGCUAAUUUGCCGGUACGGUAUGAUUGGUUAGCUAGUUUCUUGCAUAUUCUGGCAAAGACCACUGCACUAAUAGGAAACUCUUAGGCAAUCAUUAUAAACAUUUUCUCUUUUUGUAUGUUGAAUAAGGCUUAAGUUGAGGAAACUGAACUUGAGCCUGCUUGAAACAUGGGUUUUGUUUUGGUUGACCAAGAGUCGGUAUAUCGCAGGUUGGUUCUUUGUAUGCACUGUAUGUUUGUGAUAAACAAAUUAUUCUACCUAUAUUAAUUAUACUGUAAUUACUGAUGCAGCAUUUGUGAUGUUUUUAGAUCAGUUGAUUGAGCCUUGCUAAUGGGAGUAGCUAAUUGGCUGAAAUGAACCUACACAAAGGACUGGAGUUGAGGAACACUUGUGAAUAACUCGACAGUGAGGCUCUGCUGAUGUUUCAAGAUAUUCAUUAUGUCUUUGUUUAUAGACUAAGAAGAGACGGAACUGUGGUUGUGCCAAGAAGGGCUGUAGGCAUGUGCAGGGACAAGGCCAUAAAAAAAGUUUGUCAUCAGGAACAUUGUUGAGGCUGCUGCCGUAGAUAUCUCAGAGGCUAGCGUGUUUGAAUGUGAGUAGAUUGUUGAAUGGUCUGAGGGCAACUAGUCAUGUGAUGCUAGCAUUGAAUGGCACUGGAGCAUGUAUUUUGUUUGAUUAGAUCCACCAGAUCCUUGGUUUAUUACACUUCAUACUCAAUCAUCCUUUCUUCUGGCAAGCCUGUUUUGCCCAAGCUCUAUGUGAAACUGCACUACUGCGUGAGCUGUGCCAUCCACUGUAAGGUGGUCAGGAACCAUUCCACAGAGGCCAGGAAGGACCGCACACCACCAUCCCGCUUCAGGCCCAGUUGUGAAUACUCAAGCACCAAGCUCUGCCAUGGCCAUUAAAUGGUGAUCAUGAAUGUCGAACUCAUUCCAUGGAGGGCUGAGUAUGUGCUAGUUUUCUUUAUUUCCUUUCAAUUUGUCAAAUUAAGACCUACACAACCAGGUGAGGGGGAGUUCCUAAAUAAUCAGUGACCGUAAUGGAUCAAUCAAGUACAAGGGAGGAGCGAAAACCCAUGGAAUGAGUUUGACACCUGUGGCCUGCACAAAUCCUCAUGUCUGGGAUAUCUGCUUGGAUUGAGAGAAUCCUCAGUCAAAUACAGAAACUGACAUUUCCAUUCUUGCUUUUCCUCUAACGUUGGCUGUUAUUGCAUGAUGUGAUUGUGGAAUACCGUUCUGAUGGAAUGUGUUCUCUUUCUAUAGGGUGGCCCACCCAGAGUUCCUCCACAGCCCAUGUAAAACAGAUUGAUUUGAAUAUAGAUUUUCACUUGCAAAACAUUUAUAUACAUCUUUAUAAAUAUGAAUGUCUUAUCAUUGUAGAAAUAUCAGCCAGUCAAGUGUAUUUAUUUGGAAUACUCUCCUUCAAUACAGUACAAAAUUUACAGUAGUUUAAUCUUGAUACACAAAUACUUAAUUACAUUAUGGUACAUGAAAAAAGGCUCUGCAGUUCAAGCGAAUCCACGCAAUUCACAGGGGCAGGAGUAAAGGUAACAGAGCAGAUAGUCAAGUCAAAGGGAACACAAACACAGUGCAA